UACUCUCGACAACAGAUAUCUCGGCUCUCUCAUCGAUGAAGAACGUAGUGAAAUGCGAUACUUGUUGUGAAUUGUAGAAUCCCAUGAAAGAUCGAGUAUUUGAACGCAAGUUGUGUCCCAAGCCGUUAGGCCAAUGGCACGUCUUCCUGGGUGUCA